rnacentral:rRNA from 1 species
GAUGAACGCUGGCGGCGUGCUUAACACAUGCAAGUCGAACGGAAAGUCUCCUUUUUGCUGGGGUACUCGAGUGGCGAACGUGUGAGUAACACGUGGGUGAUCUGCCCAGCACUUCGGGAUAAUCCUGGUAAACUGGGUCUAAUACCGGAUAGGACGAUGUUUUGCAUGCCAUUGUGUAACGUUUUUUAGGCUUGGGAUGAGCUCGCGGCCUAUCCGCUUGUUGGUGGGGUAAUUGCAUACCAAGGCUUCGACGGGUAGCCGGUCGGAGAGGGGGAACGGCAACAAUGGGACGGAGAUAAGGCCCAGAAGACUACGGGAGGAAGCAGUGGGGAAUAAUGCACAAUGGGCGGAAGAAGGAUGAAGCAACGACGCGGGGGGGAUGAAGGAGGUCGGGGGGUAAACAACUUUCGCUAGGGAAGAAGAGAAAGUGACGGUACCUGGGGAAGAAGCACCGGCUAACUACGUG